rnacentral:rRNA from 1 species
UGGGCAAUCUGCCCUUCACUCUGGGACAAGCCCUGGAAACGGGGUCUAAUACCGGAUAUUACUCCUGCCUGCAUGGGCGGGGGUUGAAAGCUCCGGCGGUGAAGGAUGAGCCCGCGGCCUAUCAGCUUGUUGGUGGGGUAACGGCUCACCAAGGCAACGGACGGGUAGCUGGUCUGAGAGGAUGGCCAGCCACAUUGGGACUGAGACACGGCCCAGACUCCGUACGGNGCAG